AGCGAACGCUGGCGGCAGGCCUAACACAUGCAAGUCGAACGAACUCUUCGGAGUUAGUGGCGGACGGGUGAGUAACACGUGGGAACGUGCCUUUAGGUUCGGAAUAACUCAGGGAAACUUGUGCUAAUACCGAAUGUGCCCUUCGGGGGAAAGAUUUAUCGCCUUUAGAGCGGCCCGCGUCUGAUUAGCUAGUUGGUGAGGUAAAGGCUCACCAAGGCGACGAUCAGUAGCUGGUCUGAGAGGAUGAUCAGCCACAUUGGGACUGAGUCACGGCCCAAACUCCGACGGGAGGCAGCAGUGGGGAAUCUUGCGCAAUGGGCGAAAGCCUGACGCAGCCAUGCCGCGUGAAUGAUGAAGGUCUUAGGAUUGUAAAAUUCUUUCACCGGGGACGAUAAUGACGGUACCCGGAGAAGAAGCCCCGGCUAACUUCGUGCCAGCAGCAGCCGUAA
rnacentral:rRNA from 1 species